rnacentral:rRNA from 1 species
AAUCUUCCACAAUGGGCGAAAGCCUGAUGGAGCAACGCCGCGUGUGUGAAGAAGGUUUUCGGAUCGUAAAACUCUGUUGUAAGGGAAGAACAAGUACAGUAGUAACUGGCUGUACCUUGACGGUACCUUAUUAGAAAGCCACGUCUAACUACGUCCCAGCAGCCGCGGUAAUACGUAGGUGGCUAGCGUUGUCCGGAAUUAUUGGGCGUAAAGCGAGCGCAGGCGGUCCUUUAAGUCUGAUGUGAAAGCACACGGCUGAACCGUGGAGGGUAAUUGGAAACUGGGGGACUAGAGUGCAGAAGAGGAAAGUGGAAUUCCAAGUGUAGCGGUGAAAUGCGUAGAGAUUUGGAGGAACACCAGUGGCGAAGGCGACUUUCUGGUCUGUAACUGACGCUGAGGCGCGAAAGCGUGGGGAGCAAACA